CUGGUUGAUCCUGCCAGUAGCAUAUGCUUGUCUCAAAGAUUAAGCCAUGCAUGUCUAAGUACAAGCCGCUAGUCGGCGAAACCGCGAAUGGCUCAAUAAAUCAGUUAUGGUUCCUUAGAUCUUUCCAUCCUACUUGGAUAACUGUGGUAAUUCUAGAGCUAAUACAUGCAUUCAAGCCCCGACUCCCGGGUUUCGGCUCGGGCUGGAGGGGUGCUUUUAUUAGACCAAAACCAAUCGAAGCUUCGGCUUCGUUUCCUUUGGUGACUCUGAAUAACUUUCCGCUGAUCGCACGGCCUCGAGCCGGCGACGCAUCUUUCAAAUGUCUGCCUUAUCAACUUUCGAUGGUAGGUUAUGCGCCUACCAUGGUUGCAACGGGUAACGGGGAAUCGGGGUUCGAUUCCGGAGAGGGAGCCUGAGAAACGGCUACCACAUCCAAGGAAGGCAGCAGGCGCGCAAAUUACCCAUUCCCGGCACGGGGAGGUAGUGACGAAAAAUAACGAUACGGGACUC
rnacentral:rRNA from 1 species